GACGCACGCUGGCGGCGUGCUUAACACAUGCAAGUCGAACGGGCUGCCUGGUUUUCGGAUCGGGUGGUGAGUGGCGAACGGGUGAGUAACACGUGAGUAACCUGCCCCUCUCUUUGGGAUAACGUCGGGAAAUCGGCGCUAAUACCGGGUAUUCUGGCUUCCUCGCAUGGGGUUGUUGGGAAAGGUUUUUUCUGGUGGGGGAUGGGCUCGCGGCCUAUCAGCUUGUUGGUGGGGUGAUGGCCUACCAAGGCGGUGACGGGUAGCCGGCCUGAGAGGGUGUCCGGCCACACUGGGACUGAGACACGGCCCAGACUCCUACGGGAGGCAGCAGUGGGGAAUAUUGCACAAUGGGCGGAAGCCUGAUGCAGCGACGCCGCGUGGGGGAUGACGGCCUUCGGGUUGUAAACCUCUUUCAGUGCAGAACAAGGCUCUUUGUGGGUUGAGGGUAGGCGCAGAAGAAGCGCCGGCUAACUACGUG
rnacentral:rRNA from 1 species